rnacentral:rRNA from 1 species
GUGGAUUAGAUACCCUGGUAGUCCACGCCCUAAACGAUGAAUACUCGUUGUUGGCGAUAUACAGUCAGCGACUAAGCGAAAGCGUUAAGUAUUCCACCUGGGGAGUACGUUCGCAAGGAUGAAACUCAAAGAAAUUGGCGGGGGUCCGCACAAGCGGUGGAUUAUGUGGUUUAAUUCGAUGAUACGCGAGGAACCUUACCAGGGCUAGAAUGGGAGGAGAAUAUGGGUGAAAGCUCAUAGCUAGCAAUAGCUGCUUCCAAGGUGCUGCACGGCUGUCGUCAACU